rnacentral:lncRNA from 1 species
CCCUACCCAUCGUGCGGAUUUAUUUCCCACAAUGGGGUCCACUUGUAAUUAAAGGUCCACAUGUAAUUAAGGCACGAAACCAAAUGCAACAGAAGAAGUAUAUUAUGCAGCUGAAUGGAAUGAGAAUGAGAAAGAGAAAGGUUACCACUCAGCAAGCUUAAAGUUUGCAGAUAACAGUGUCGGUGAAAGGGGUGAAAGAGAGGGCUCUUCACCUACAAUCCCUGUGGAUGUACCAACACAAGCAUGAACACAUGAAAUUUAUUUAAGAAUGUCAACAACAACCAGUUCGAGAAACAUCAACUCACCUACUGUUUGAUUUCUUAUCCUUGCAAGUUGUUGAUAUGUUUAAAUGUCCGAAUAUGUUGUCUGGAAUGAAGAUAAUGCUUCUCAGAAGAGCAUGUAUUUUCGUAUUUCAUGAUGCUCUAUUUGAGAUGCCAAUGUCGUAGCUCUUAAAAAAAACUCAUAGCUAGGAAAAACUCGUAGCUCUAUUUGUCAUAGCUCUAUUAUC